rnacentral:lncRNA from 1 species
AGAAUACAACAUAAAGAAUAAAGCAAACUAUGAAAAGAUGCAUAGUACGAUCCCAAUUUUCCAAGUCUAUAUUUAUAUGAACACUUAGAAGGGAAAAUCUGCAAGUAAAUAUGUUGAAAGUCAACAGUUUUCUCUGAAAAACAGAAUAGGUGUUCAAUGCAUGCUUCUUGAUUUCGGUUAGGAAAUCAUUCACUCUGUCCAUCUUUAUUGAAUGUCUACAAUGUGUCAGCCAGCCCUGGGGAGACAGAAAGAAACAAAACCAAGACCCUGGUCUGGUGCAACUCAUUUCUUGAUGGUAUCUUAUGGCGGUUUCUUCUUCGAUGACGGUGCUGGAGACAGAGAGAUGGAGAGUAGCGGAUAGACCGGCAAUACGUUUUAAAGACAAAAUCUACCUCUGAGCGCGGCCAGUUUGAGGUCGAUAGAGCGAUUGCAAUCAGCUGGCCCACCGUGAGCAGCAUCCUGGGAUGGCGAGGAAGUGCUGUUCUUGCCAGAAGCAGUUCCUGUGAGGGUCGCGCUGCAGAGCUGAGUCUUCAGCAUCGGACCUUUGUAAGGGGGUUAGGGUUGGAGGACCCUUCCACUCUCAAGAGGUCAGGACCCACCAAUACGUGCACUCAAUAUCCUAGAAUCAAUGUCCACACUGGAUGUGGAGGCCGGGCUGCUGCUGCUUCUCCUCCUUCUUCUCCUCUUCUCUUCUUCUUUUCUUCUUCUCCUCCUCCUCCUUCCCCUCCCCCU